UGGGGAACCUGCCCCAUAGUCUGGGAUACCACUUGGAAACAGGUGCUAAUACCGGAUAAGAAAGCGGAUCGCAUGAUCAGCUUUUAAAAGGCGGCGUAAGCUGUCGCUAUGGGAUGGCCCCGCGGUGCAUUAGCUAGUUGGUAAGGUAAAGGCUUACCAAGGCGAUGAUGCAUAGCCGAGUCGAGAGACUGAUCGGCCACAUUGGGACUGAGACACGGCCCAAACUCCUACGGGAGGCAGCAGAU
rnacentral:rRNA from 1 species